UGCCCUCCGCCUGUCAAAAGUCACUCCC
rnacentral:piRNA from 1 species